rnacentral:tRNA from 1 species
CCUUCGAUAGCUCAGUUGGUAGAGCGGAGGACUGUAGAUCCUUAGGUCGCUGGUUCAAAUCCGGCUCAAAGGA